GACGAACGCUGGCGGCGUGCUUAACACAUGCAAGUCGAACGGAAAGGCCCUGCUCUUGUGGGGUGCUCGAGUGGCGAACGGGUGAGUAACACGUGAGUAACCUGCCCUUGACUUUGGGAUAACUUCUGGAAACUGGGGCUAAUACCGGAUAGGAGCUCCUGCUGCAUGGUGGGGGUUGGAAAGUUUCGGCGGUUGGGGAUGGACUCGCGGCUUAUCAGCUUGUUGGUGGGGUAGUGGCUUACCAAGGCUUUGACGGGUAGCCGGCCUGAGAGGGUGACCGGCCACAUUGGGACUGAGAUACGGCCCAGACUCCUACGGGAGGCAGCAGUGGGGAAUAUUGCACAAUGGGCGGAAGCCUGAUGCAGCAACGCCGCGUGCGGGAUGACGGCCUUCGGGUUGUAAACCGCUUUCGCCUGUGACGAAGCGUGAGUGACGGUAAUGGGUAAAGAAGCACCGGCUAACUACGUG
rnacentral:rRNA from 1 species